GUCUCCAAUCUGAUGCAACUGCAGUUUAUGUGAUGUUGGAUAGUGGAGCAUUGGAAGGAUAUUUCAGUGAUAAUGGGUUUUUAAUGAAUCCAAACAAAGUCUAUAGCAUGACAUUUACAUCUUGGACUGAUGCACUGCUGAAGAUGCUACCAAGAACAUAAAAGCAAAGUCAUUGGCCGACACAUAUGGAUCUAGCUAAGUUGAUCUUAUUUUAGUCAGUGUUGAAAUGAAACAAUUGCCAUGAAUUUAUGGUAGUAAUUUUUUUCAAAAAUAAUUUGUUCCUGGCCACGCCCAGGUGCACCAAUCGUAA